AGCAGCCGCGGUAAUUCCAGCUCCAAUAGCGUAUAUUAAAGUUGUUGCAGUUAAAAAGCUCGUAGUUGAAUUUCGGGGUCAGUAGAUUGGUCGUGCCACUGGUAUGUACUGGUCUUACUGGCUCCUCCUUCCUGAUGAACCGUAAUGCCAUUAAUUUGGUGUUGCGGGGAGACUGGACUGUUACUUUGAAAAAAUUAGAGUGUUUAAAGCAGGCUAACGCUUGAAUACAUUAGCAUGGAAUAAUGAAAUAGGACGUUCGAUCUUAUUUUGUUGGUUUCUAGGAUUGACGUAAUGAUUAAUAGGGAUAGUUGGGGGCAUUAGUAUUCAAUUGUCAGAGGUGAAAUUCUUGGAUUUAUUGAAGACUAACUACUGCGAAAGCAUUUGCCAAGGAUGUUUUCAUUAAUCAAGAACGAAAGUUAGGGGAUCGAAGACGAUCAGAUACCGUCGUAGUCUUAACCAUAAACUAUGCCGACUAGGGAUCGGAUGAUGUUAAUUUUUUAAUGACUCAUUCGGCGCCUUA
rnacentral:sRNA from 1 species